rnacentral:rRNA from 1 species
UACAGAGGUCCCAAGCGUUGUUCGGAUUCACUGGGCGUAAAGGGUGCGUAGGCGGUCGGGUAAGUCUGAUGUGAAAUCUCACAGCUUAACUGUGAAACUGCAUUGGAUACUAUUCGGCUUGAGAGUUGGAGGGGGGACUGGAAUUCUUGGUGUAGCAGUGAAAUGCGUAGAUAUCAAGAGGAACACCGGUGGCGAAGGCGGGUCUCUGGGCCGAUACUGACGCUGAGGAGCGAAAGCGUGGGGAGCGAACAGG